rnacentral:rRNA from 1 species
ACGCGUUAAACACUCCGCCUGGGUACUACGGCUGCAAGGUUGAAACUCAAAGGAAUUGACGGAAAUCUAUACCAGCGGUGGAGUAUGUGGUUUAAUUCGAUGAUAAGCGAAAAACCUUACCAGUUUUUGAAUAUAAGUAUUUAAGGUAAUUUAUUUCAUUAGGAAAAUUUAAUAGAGAAAAUUGAAAGUGCUUAUACAGGUGUUGCAUGGCUGUCGUCAGCACGUGUCGUGAGAUGUAGGGUUAACUCCGCUAACGGGCGCAACCCUAGUUUUUAUUAUUAAAAAGAUUGCUGAUGCUAAUUGUUGGAGGAAGGUUAGGAUGACGUCAAGUCAAGAUGGCCUUUAAGGACUGGGCUACACACGUACUACAAAGUUUGUGACAAAUAAUAGCAAUAGUGUGAACUGGAGCAAUUUUUAAAAAGCAAACGUAGUUCAGAUUGUUCUCUGCAAUUCGAGAACAUGAAGGUGGAAUCGCUAGUAAUCGCAAAUCAGAACUGUUGCGGUGAAUAUUCAAAUGGAUUUUGUACACACCGCCCGUCACGCCAUGGAAAUUAGUCAAAUAUGAAAUAAUGUAGUAAAUAGGUAUCAUUUAUAUUUUUAUAACUACGGGUUGUGUUUGUUAUUAAAAUAUUUGUAUACUUAUUUAUAGUUAUGGGUGUAGGAUUAUGGACUGGGGUGAAGUCGUAANCAAGGUACC